rnacentral:rRNA from 1 species
GGGCCCGCACAAGCGGUGGAGUAUGUGGUUUAAUUCGACGCUACGCGCAGAACCUUACCAACCUUUGACAUGGGUAUCACCGGAACGGUAAUCGUUCCUUCAUUUAGUUGGAUACCACACAGGUGCUGCAUGGCUGUCGUCAGCUCGUGUCGUGAGAUGUUGGGUUAAGUCCCGCAACGAGCGCAACCCUCGCCUUUAGUUGCUACCAUUCAGUUGAGCACUCUAAAGGACUGCCGGUGUAAGCCGGAGGAAGGUGGGGAUGACGUCAAGUCCUCAUGGCCCUUACAGGUUGGGCUACACACGUACUACAAUGGCAAUGACAGAGGGAUGCCAACUCGCAAGGGUGCGCGGAUCCCAAAAAGUUGCCUCAGUUCGGAUUGUCCUCUGCAACUCGAGGGCAUGAAGUUGGAAUCGCUAGUAAUCGCGAAUCAGCAGGUCG